UUACGGCCAUAUGAUGGUGAAAUAUCAGCGAUCGUGCGAGCACCGAAGUUAAGCAAUAUUGAACCUGGUCAGUACCUAGUUGGGUGAACGCUUGGGAAUAGCAGGAGCUGUCAG